UUAACACAUGCAAGUCGAGCGAGGCCCAUCCGGUGGCAACACCGGGUGGUUCCUAGCGGCGAACGGGUGAGUAACACGUGGGUAACCUGCCCCUGACAUCGGGAUAACUCCGGGAAACCGGGGCUAAUACCGAAUAUGAGACGCUCUCGCAUGGGAGUGUCUGGAAAGGGUUCACCGGUCAGGGAUGGGCCCGCGGCCUAUCAGCUUGUUGGUGGGGUAACAGCCCACCAAGGCGACGACGGGUAGCCGGCCUGAGAGGGUGUCCGGCCACACUGGGACUGAGACACGGCCCAGACUCCUACGGGAGGCAGCAGUGGGGAAUCUUGCGCAAUGGGCGAAAGCCUGACGCAGCGACGCCGCGUGAGGGAUGAAGGCCUUCGGGUUGUAAACCUCUUUCAGCAGGGACGAAGCGAGAGUGACGGUACCUGCAGAAGAAGCCCCGGCCAACUACGUGCCAGCCGCCGCUGUAACAC
rnacentral:rRNA from 1 species